CAAAAUUUAAAAUGAACCAACGGCAACCGCUAUCCCCAUUUGAAAGAUUUAUGGAAUCCGAUUCAAAAUACAUAACGAGAGACAGCGCGGCGUCGCGCGAGAAUGGAGAUACGAGGGAGCGCGAAGACGACACUGACUGAGUAUUCCCUCUACAAAAGCUUUUACAAGGUUACCAGUGCUCCGUUCAUAAAUGGGAUCAGUUUAAUAUUGGACAGAAUGAAAAUUGGGAUAAGUAAACUAGUGAGUGACGUGAAAUAUGAUUUGGAAAAUGUUUUUAACUGCACCAUUAAAGCUGUGGAUGUUUUGAUACACGCUAGAGAAAAAAAUAUAUAAAAUCGAAAGGAUAGUCCUUGUCCAUCCUAGGAUGAACAAAUUUACUCUCUUCAACAUUUUUGUAUCUUAAUGAAAAAACGUUUUUAUUGUUUAUUGACAACAUCAAAGUCGUAACUCGCAUCUACAGAACUAACACAGACAGAUUUAAAAAGUCCUCGUACUUCUCCCACCUGCUACAUCCUUCUGACAUCAUGUGCAGACUGUGCGGAUUCUUCUUCAUCAAACAAGAGCGCCUAUACUUGAAUAUCGGAGUAAAAUGACUCUUAUUCGGAUUGGAAUAAAACUCAAAUUUUCCUACAAUUCUUUAGACCGGUUAUGACAGAACGUACGUAAAAUAGAAAUCAGAAGUACAGGAUUUCCAACUCUAAAACAAGUGGCAUUAGGUACAUUUUAUUUUGACGAUGCAGAGUUUGCUAUGCCAAUAUGAGUCGUCGAUUGCGAGCUAGCAAAUCAUGUACUUAGGCUACAGAUGUAGCCCGAGGCUGGUGUCACGGUUUUGGAGCGAUAAUAACCGGGACCGACGGCUCAACGUGCUAUCCGAGGCACGGGGGGUAAUACUGCCUAUUUCCUAACUCCGGGCAGGUACUGAAAAUUCUUUACCGGAAAACACUCAUAUCUGAUAGAAAAUGUACAUAUGUAAGUCAUAAUGUUUUGGAGUACCUAAGUAACUAAAAA